UCCGACCCGUGACAAGCCACCAGGAAGGAGUAGCGUAUGCACGCAUCACCCCUCGCAGCCGCCAUCUAUAUCGAUCCACCCAUACCCUUUACCGACGAAGAAAUCGGCAGCGCCGCGCACGAGAAACACAUGCCCAGUGUGCGCGCCAUCGCGGUUGACCCCGAUCGCGGGCUGGUGCUGCUCAAUCUGAUCGGUGCGGAUACCUCGGUUUCCGCCGUGAUCAUGGAGUUGCUGAGGAGCAAGAGCAGCGGCGUCAGCUUCCUGUCCAGUCUGUUUGGCAGCCAGCAACCCAACAUCCCAACCCAGCUGACGAUUCAGUCGGGUAUCCGCUACACCACCUUCCGUAGCGCACUUGCCACAUCCGGUGGCUCGCUCAGUUUGAAAAAAUUGGUGUCUGCUGAUCGCCACCGCCAACCUCGCUGAGAGCCGCCGGCGCGCACCGACUAUUCCGCCGCAGCUGCUGCCGCCUCCACCGGCGACCGCCGAGACCGCACCCGCCGUACCGGCUAACACGCCACUCGCCGCGCCCGCCCCCACACUAUGUCAUCGGCGCGGCGACCGCCACCACAUCCGACCCGCACGCCCUGCUGGGCCAUCUGCGUACGAUCGGCGUGGUCGCGGCUGAUGCAUGGGCCGAGCCAGUGCGCGACCUCGCGCUCGACGCCCAACUCGUCACCCCACUACCCGCCGCUGGCGUGACGUGCUGGCGCAUCGACGGCGACCUGACGAAGUGGGUCGAGCUGGUCAGGCACGGCAUCCAGUCCCAGGGUUUCUCAAUCCCCGUACCGACCGCUGUUCAACAGCAACGCGCGGCAUAGCAUUGUACCCAUUCACACGCAUCAGAAACCGCAAUUGACGAAGGACGGUGGACAGCGAUCCAUCGUCCUUCGUCCUUCGUCUUCCGUCUUUCGUCCGUCACACAAGGAGCACACCCAUGGCUUUUGGAACCUUGCCCAAUAUCGCCAACGCCGGACACGAGCCCACACCCGACGCACGCGCCGAGCAGAUCGCACAUACCCUGCUCAAACUCCCCCGCCGCCACUUCACCGUGAUCGACGGCACCUGCGGCGAGGGCAAUCUGCUCGCACCAUUUCAAGGUAAUACGCAUGCUGAACUGAUCGGCAUCGAGAUCAACGGCAAAUGGGCCGAGCUCGCCGCCGAGCGAUUGCCUCAGGCCCAGAUUAUCACUGCUGCGCUUGAACAUGUCACGAUCAGCCCAAACAGCCUCAGCCUGGCACUCCUCAAUCCGCCCUACCUGGUCACCAACGGCGGCCGCAUGGAACUACAGGUGUUUCGCCAGCUAUGCGAUGCGGUGAUGUCGCACGGCGUGAUCGCGUGCAUCAUCCCGGCCCGCAGCGCCUGGGACAAACGCUUCAUCAGCGCCUGGGCGCGGCGGUGUUAUGACGUGCGCGCCU
rnacentral:misc_RNA from 1 species